rnacentral:rRNA from 1 species
UACGGAGGGUGCAAACGGUGCUCGGAAUCAUUGGGCGUAAAGCGCACGUAGGCGGUUUGUUAAGUCGGGUGUGAAAGCCCCAGGCUCAACCUGGGAAGUGCACUCGAAACUGGCGAACUUGAAUAUGGAAGAGGGUCGCGGAAUUCCCGGUGUAGAGGUGAAAUUCGUAGAUAUCGGGAGGAACACCAGUGGCGAAGGCGGCGACCUGGGCCAAUAUUGACGCUGAGGUGCGAAAGCGUGGGGAGCAAACAGG